UUGACCUCUGAUAGGCUCUGUAUUCAUUCCUAUAGCCUGUAAACAAUAUAAAAGACUCUUGCCAAAAAGCCUGAGCGUGUGCUCUUGGAAGAGAGACACCUGGCAUGUUGUGAUCAAUAAAUGUUUGGACCUGAUGGACGGCUUGGCCACUGCUCAUUAAACAAACCCAGAAUUCUCAGAAUUUCUCCGUCAACUGUCAAGCAGUUCAGUCUGGUUGAGUUCUAGAGAAGUCAAUAGCUUCUACUCAAGCUGAUGAGGGCUUUAUAGGCCCAGGUUCCUGAAAAAAGGACGGAAGCACAGUGUUCUGAUUCAAGUGGAAAUCAGUAACUACCUUUGACCUUGAACCUGAUGGGCUCCGCAAUGGUCUCCCCAAACCUUCAGAGAGGUGUCUGUCAUGACACACUGCGUCGG